UACGGAGGGUGCGAGCGUUGUUCGGAAUCACUGGGCGUAAAGCGCGUGUAGGCGGCCCACUAAGUCUGAUGUGAAAGCCCGGGGCUCACCCCCGGAAGUGCAUUGGAAACUGGUGGACUCGAGUCCCGGAGAGGAGAGUGGAAUUCCGUGGUGUAGCGGUGAAAUGCGUAGAUAUCGAGGAGGAACACCGGUGGCGAAGGCGG
rnacentral:rRNA from 1 species